rnacentral:misc_RNA from 1 species
GUCGAUGAAGAAGUCAUCGAUCUGCGGAUAGGCCUCCUGCGAAAUUGCACUCCGGCCGCCGCGAUAAUGCAGCAGCGACGGCGAUGGAAUCGUCAUCUUCGGCAGAAUGCCGGCGAGAUCGCACUUGUCCUUGAGCAGCUUGAAAUGCCCGAUCAUCGGAUGGCUGGCCGGGAAAUCGAGCUUGCCGGUGACGCGGAUGCUUUCGCCGCGCGUCGU